GCGGAGGAAAAGAAACUAACAAGGAUUCCCCUAGUAACUGCGAGUGAAGAGGGAAAAGCUCAAAUUUAAAAUCUGGCAGUCUCUGAUUGUCCGAGUUGUAAUUUAGAGAAGUGUUACCCGUGUUGGACCGUGUACAAGUCUCCUGGAAUGGAGCGUCAUAGAGGGUGAGAAUCCCGUCUUUGAUACGGAUCCCAAUACAUUGUGGUACACUCUCGAAGAGUCGAGUUGUUUGGGAAUGCAGCUCUAAAUGGGUGGUAAAUUCCAUCUAAAGCUAAAUAUUGGGGAGAGACCGAUAGCGAACAAGUACCGUGAGGGAAAGAUGAAAAGAACUUUGGAAAGAGAGUUAAACAGUACGUGAAAUUGCUGAAAGGGAAACGCUUGAAGUCAGUCGCGUUGGUCGGGGAUCAGCCUUCCUUAUGGUUGGUGCAUUUCCUGAUCAACGGGUCAACAUCAGUUUUGAUCAAUGGAUAAAAGUUUGAGGGAUGUGGCAUCUUCGGGUGUGUUAUAACCUCUUGCUAUAUACAUUGAUUGGGACUGAGGAACUCAGCACGCCGCAAGGCCGGGUUUUUAACCACGUUCGUGCUUAGGAUGUUGGCAUAAUGGCUUUAAUCGACCCGUCUUGAAACACGGA
rnacentral:rRNA from 1 species